UCUUCAACGUGGGGCCGGGGGUGAACCAAAUUCUCCUUUGAAGCUCUUCCUGUUCAACCAAGUACUUGUGUUAAUGUGAUUCUGAUGAUGUGAUAAACAGGUUGUCCGGCAUCUCAUUCUAGCCGGCCGGGCAUGAUGUCCACGUGGUCUCAGGCGCUCCUGACUUUGUAUUCACUUCUGAAAAACAAUCACCAAAGCUCUUCAUCCGGAAGUAUUCUGAAAUGGUGGUGCUAUGUCGGGCAUCAAUUUUAUCAACAGAAGUUGAGUGGCUGAACUCCAUCAAGUCUGACUUAGUGGUCUCCGAUGUUGUUCAUAUUGCAUGCCGAGCAGCUGCAGAUGCUGGAAUUGGUUCUGUAUGUGUCACUAACUUCAGGGAGGCAACAAUGAAAAUUGACUGAUGUGCAUGUAUGUUUCAAGCAUACAACAGUCAUGGACUUGUCAAGAAAAGUAAUAUGAAAUUGGGAUUUUAUCUAUACAAUGUGAUGGCUGCCGGAUAUCACCAUAUAUAGUUCAAUCUUUGGCAGAUUGCUGAAGAUUAUGCGCAUAGUGAGUUUCUAAUCCGUCUACCGGGCUAUAGCCUAAUGCCACCAUUUCGUAAUGUUAUUGAUGCACCCCUUUUCGUAAGGAGAUUACACAAAUCCAGAGAAGAGGUGUGCUUUACAGCACAAAAUAUGUGAAAUGAGUAUGAAACAUUUCCUUGUAGUGCAGGUGAGGAAAAAUCUUGGAUUUGAGGAAGAUGUGAAGAUAGUAAUUUUUAAUUUUGGUGGGCAGGGGAGGUUUAACUUAGUCU